rnacentral:tRNA from 1 species
GGCGGCCAUAGCCGCGUAGGAGCUGCCGAAGGCUGCGAUCUUUUGAUCUUGUUUUUAAGAUCCAGAUCAAAAGAUCGCAGCCUUCGGCAGCUCC